rnacentral:rRNA from 1 species
CAGUCGCCGCGGUAAUACGGAGGGGGCUAGCGUUGUUCGGAAUUACUGGGCGUAAAGCGCACGUAGGCGGCUUGGUAAGUUAGAGGUGAAAGCCCAGGGCUCAACCCUGGAAUUGCCUUUAAGACUGCCGAGCUAGUAGGUGAGAGAGGUAAGUGGAAUUCCGAGUGUAGAGGUGAAAUUCGUAGAUAUUCGGAAGAACACCAGUGGCGAAGGCGGCUUACUGGCUCAUUCUAGACGCUGAGGUGCGAAAGCGUGGGGAGCAAACAGGAUUAGAUACCCCAGUAGUCCCUGUCUCUUAUAA